UACGUAGGGUGCAAGCGUUGUCCGGAAUUAUUGGGCGUAAAGAGCUCGUAGGCGGUUUGUCGCGUCUGCUAGUGAAACUCGAGGCUCAACCUCGAGACGUCGGUUGAAACCGUAUGGCUAGAGUCCGGAAGAGGAGAGUGGAAUUCCCGGUGUAGCGGUGAAAUGCGCAGAUAUCGGGAAGAACACCCGUGGCGAAGGCGGCUCUCUGGGACGGUACUGACGCUGAGACGCGAAAGCGUGGAGAGCGAACAGG
rnacentral:rRNA from 1 species